AAGGCUCAAUUAGUGUUCUAAUCUUUCAAUUAAUUUUCCAGGUGUGUGAACUUCAUCGUCUUUAUCAAAUUCAGAAGAUGCUUAUGAAAGAAACCGCCAAAAAUAGGCAAAACAUGCAGGAUUACUUGAUUAAUUCCAAUAAGCUCGAUGAUGAUGACUAUAUUCAUACUAAGGCCAUGAAAUGUCUAGACUUGGAAGAGCCUGCUGGAGAGUUCAUAGCAGAAUCAGAUGACAGCAGAGUGCUCGAAAUUGAAGAUUACAAUGAUCUUGAGCUGACAUUAGGCCUGAAAAGCUAUUACACGAGGGGAAAAGAUACUGAAACGUCAACGGAAUCAGAUUUCGGGCCGAGCAUUAAUAAUUUGUCUUCCUCCAUUGGAUCAAACCAUGUAAAGAGAACAAGAAAAUAUCCAAGAGAAGAAUCAUUAAACCAGCAGAAAUGGGGACUAGGGAUGACUGUAUCAAUUCCUAGUUUCCUUGGAGGAAGGAAAAUUAGUUCUGAGGUGGAAGAACAUUUGAGAAAAGAUGGAUUAAAUGCUCCACCUUGGCUUUUCCAGGCUUUAAGCCUGAAUAUGAGUUGAGAAAGGCGAAAAAAUUUCAUCCCAUGUCAGUAUAAUAACGUCUGUAGACUUCCUAUUGUCAUCCUAUUCUGUGAGUAUGAUCGGAUUUUAUUUCGAUAUUAACUUAUUUUCUAGUUUUUACUAAUAAUGGGAUUCAUUUUUUGAGACUUGUUUAUUCCACCAUAACUUUGUAAUCAACCAUGUCUUUCUUGCUUGUGGUAGGGAAAAAAUAUAUAAACCCUAAAAAGAAAAUGGGAGAAAACACAUGAUUUGACCUUAAAAACCUUGAAAAAUCAAAUUGGUGUGUAUGCUCAAUGAAAAAUAUCCUAGUCAGUACGUGCUAAAUACGCAUCACUUUCUUAUGAAGAUGAUGUGAAGCCAUGAUAAGAGAUAUUUUCAUAUGUCAAUAAUUAUCAUGGCCCAAACAUUAUUAUACUUUGUAAGGAAAAACAGUUAAAAUAUACUGUACCUGAUAAAAUCAUGUGGACUAAAACUAUCAUGGCCUCCUUAACUCGGUAUAUGCUUUGAUUGCUGUCUUUAUUAUUAGUACUAUUUUCUUGAUAUAUUCUUACCUUUUUUCCUUGAAUGUUUUGCCAUUUUUCUGCAUGUACAAGACGAGGCAUAUAAGAAAGGCUAAUAUCAUCUCAAAUUGACUGCACAAUCCUUCUAUUUCUGUUUUUUCGAAUUUCGAUGGAGAAGCUUCUUGGUUCGUAUGACAGGGAAUACAUGAAAAUGGCCAUGUUAAAGCACGAGGAAACAUUUCGAGAGCAGGUAGGUUUAUAUUCCCAUCUUAUGUUUUGCCUAUGUCUUGCUUUAAUUGCUAUAUCGAGAGUUAGUCUAUGUUUAUGUCUUUUCCAGAAUCUUUUUAAAGGCUCAAUUAGUGUUCUAAUCUUUCAAUUAAUUUUCCAGGUGUGUGAACUUCAUCGUCUUUAUCAAAUUCAGAAGAUGCUUAUGAAAGAAACCGCCAAAAAUAGGCAAAACAUGCAGGAUUACUUGAUUAAUUCCAAUAAGCUCGAUGAUGAUGACUAUAUUCAUACUAAGGCCAUGAAAUGUCUAGACUUGGAAGAGCCUGCUGGAGAGUUCAUAGCAGAAUCAGAUGACAGCAGAGUGCUCGAAAUUGAAGAUUACAAUGAUCUUGAGCUGACAUUAGGCCUGAAAAGCUAUUACACGAGGGGAAAAGAUACUGAAACGUCACCGGAAUCAGAUUUCGGGCCGAGCAUUAAUAAUUUGUCUUCCUCCAUUGGAUCAAACCAUGUAAAGAGAACAAGAAAAUAUGCAAGAGAAGAAUCAUUAAACCAGCAGAAAUGGGGACUAGGGAUGACUGUAUCAAUUCCUAGUUUCCUUGGAGGAAGGAAAAUUAGUUCUGAGGUGGAAGAACAUUUGAGAAAAGAUGGAUUAAAUGCUCCACCUUGGCUUUUCCAGGCUUUAAGCCUGAAUAUGAGUUGAGAAAGGCGAAAAAAUUUCAUCCCAUGUCAGUAUAAUAACGUCUGUAGACUUCCUAUUGUCAUCCUAUUCUGUGAGUAUGAUCGGAUUUUAUUUCGAUAUUA
rnacentral:lncRNA from 1 species